rnacentral:rRNA from 1 species
UGGGGAAUAUUGCACAAUGGGCGCAAGCCUGAUGCAGCCAUGCCGCGUGUAUGAAGAAGGCCUUCGGGUUGUAAAGUACUUUCAGCGGGGAGGAAGGGAGUAAAGUUAAUACCUUUGCUCAUUGACGUUACCCGCAGAAGAAGCACCGGCUAACUCCGUGCCAGCAGCCGCGGCAAUACGGAGGGUGCAAGCGUUAAUCGGAAUUACUGGGCGUAAAGCGCACGCAGGCGGUUUGUUAAGUCAGAUGUGAAAUCCUCGGGCUCAACCUGGGAACUGCAUCUGAUACUGGCAAGCUUGAGUCUCGUAGAGGGGGGUAGAAUUCCAGGUGUAGCGGUGAAAUGCGUAGAGAUCUGGAGGAAUACCGGUGGCGAAGGCGGCCCCCUGGACGAAGACUGACGCUCAGGUGCGAAAGCGUGGGGAGCAAACAGG